UACGGAGGGUGCAAGCGUUGCUCGGAAUUAUUGGGCGUAAAGGGUAGGUAGGUGGUCUUAUUUGUCUGGGGUGAAAGCCUUGAGCUUAACUCAAGGAGUGCCUCAGAAACGGUAAGACUGGAGUCCUGGAGAGGGUCGUGGAAUUCCCGGUGUAGCGGUGAAAUGCGUAGAGAUCGGGAGGAACACCAGAGGCGAAGGCGGCGACCUGGACAGGCACUGACACUCAGGCGCGACAGCGUGGGGAUCAAACAGG
rnacentral:rRNA from 1 species